rnacentral:rRNA from 1 species
AACGAACGCUGGCGGCAGGCCUAACACAUGCAAGUCGAGCGCCCUUUCGGGGGAGCGGCGGACGGGUGAGUAACGCGUGGGAAUAUGCCCUUCUCUGCGGAAUAGCCUCGGGAAACUGAGAGUAAUACCGUAUACGCCCUGUGGGGGAAAGAUUUAUCGGGGAAGGAUUAGCCCGCGUUGGAUUAGGUAGUUGGUGGGGUAAUGGCCUACCAAGCCGACGAUCCAUAGCUGGUUUGAGAGGAUGAUCAGCCACACUGGGACUGAGACACGGCCCAGACUCCGGGGGGAGGAAGGAGGGGGGAAGCAGCGACAGUGGGGGCACGCAUGAUCUCGCGGGUGGGAGUGAUGGAGGAAAGCCUGAGGGUGGAAAAGCGCUUCGAGCGGGGAAAAGAAAGGCGGAAGCAGCAGAAGAAGCACCGGCGAAAGCCGGGACAGAAGCGGGGGAAAUAAUGGGAAGAGAACACGUCGGAAC